GACGAACGCUGGCGGCGUGCUUAACACAUGCAAGUCGAGCGGAGCGGCGAACGGGUGAGUAACGCGUGAGUAACUGCCCCCCUCCCUGGGAUAAAAGUUGGAAACGGCUGCUAAUACCGGAUAGUGGGGGAUGACGCGGGUCCUAUCCGCUUGUUGGCGGGGUGGGGGCCUACCAAGGCGACGACGGGUAGCCGGCCUGGGGGGGCGACCGGCCACAUUGGGCUGAGCUGCGGGCCAAACUCCUACGGGGGGCAGCAGUGGGGAGUAUUGCACACUGGGGGAAGCCGUGCUGCAGGACCGCCGCGUGCUGGAUGUCGGCCUUCGGGUUGUAAACCGCUUUCGGCCAUGACGCGGUAGUGGCAGAAGAAGCACCGGCUAACUACGUGCCAGCAGCCGCGGUAAUUC
rnacentral:rRNA from 1 species